rnacentral:lncRNA from 1 species
AUAAUUUCAAGAGAAAUUCAGUUGUUUUCUUUACUUCAUUGUUGCUUACAUUGAGCUUCCAAUUCUAAAGAUGAUUCAUUUGCCUUGGAAACUCACUGAUGGAAGUAUCACAGUACAGUCAAGAAAAAAAUGUUUAUUCAAGAACUAGUAUUUCUUUUUUAGUUCCUACUAUGCGUCAGAUGCUAGGUUUCGUGCUUAAUUCACUUCAUUUAAUUCUUACUUAAUGCUCUGAGAUAGGUUUGCUAUUAUUCCCGUCUUCUAAUGAGAAAUCAAGGCUCAGAGAAUAACUUUCCCAAAGUCAAAUAGCUAACAAAUAGUGCAGCCAGGAUUCUCUGUAUUGAUUUAAUGAAUCCACCCUCUGACAAUGCCUCACUGCUCCCCUGGGAAAAAGCACAUAUCUUUUUUUUAAAAAAAUGAUUUAAUAAACUUAUUCUAAGAGCGCCUAUACUUUGUUCUGAGUCAAUAAUGCCUUCCUUCUGUUGGAUGGCAUGAUGUAGGUUGCUAGGCUGGACUUGUUAAACGUUGGGUAAGGAAGGCAUGAUUGCACCCAGGCGAAGUGAAUGGCUACGCAGAGGGCACAGAUAAUCUGAAUAGGGGUUGGGCUGAGAUGACAGAUUUAGAGACAGAGGCCAGGACUUCCUACAGGGGCCACACGUCACGGCGUCUUGUAUAGAACCAAGCAUAAAAGAGGCAUCAAUAAAUGUGUGUGGAUCAAAUGAUGAGAUGGUCAAAUUAUUUUUGUGCCUUCAGAGGAACUGAGUUCUCAGGGAUACAUUAAUGACAGGUACCAUCUGGAUCUCUAAAAAAAAUGAGUAUCAUAAAAAGAAAUUCAGUGAGAAAUAAAUUAAUAAAAUAAAUAGUGCAUUGAAACCAAUCCUACUAGCAUUUAUUUCCCCUAUCUAAGAGCACCCUAAUUUCUUUCAGGAAUAUACUUUGUAUCCCUAUUAGAUAAUCUUAAUAAUAGUUAACCAGCAAUGAUCAAGUGCUUACUGUGAGCCAUGCAUUUUGCUUCAUUUUUCAUAAAUAUCUUUUUUUUUCCUAAGACAGAGUCUUCCUCUGUUAUCCAGGCUGGAGUGCAGUGGCACGAUCUCAGCUUACUGCAACCUCUGCCUCCCAGGUUCAAGUGAUUCUCCUACCUCAGCCUCCCAAGGAGCUGGGAUUACAGGUGUGCAACACCAUGUCUGGCUAAUUUUUUUGUGUUUUUAGUAGAGACAGGGUUUCACCAUGUUGGCCAGGCUGGUCUCAAACUCCUGACCUCAGGUGAUCUGCCCGCCUCAGCCUCCCAAAAUGCUGGAAUUACAGGCGUGAGCAACCAUGCCCAGCCUUUCAUAAAUAUCUCCUCAAAUAAUUUUCAUGAACUCCCUAUGAGAUAAAUAUUAUUAUUGUGCUUACUUCAAAAGUGAGGAAUUUCAGGCUCUGGAAGGUUAAAUGAAUUGUUUGAGCACAAGCAUCUGUAAGUCGUAGUGCUAGAAU